UACGUAGGGCGCAAGCGUUGUCCGGAAUUAUUGGGCGUAAAGAGCUCGUAAGCGGUUUGUCGCGUCUGCUGUGAAAACCUAAGGCUCAACCUUGGGCUUGCAGUGGGUACGGGCAGACUAGAGUGCGGUAGGGGUGACUGGAAUUCCUGGUGUAGCGGUGGAAUGCGCAGAUAUCAGGAGGAACACCGAUGGCGAAGGCAGGUCACUGGGCCGCAACUGACGCUGAGGAGCGAAAGCAUGGGGAGCGAACAGG
rnacentral:rRNA from 1 species